GCGGAUCUGAGGCAGCUGUGUGAGGUCUUGUGGACUGUAAUAACCAAGGUCAAAAUAUAGGCAAGGUUUUGAGUGAUCUACUGAUCAUCUCUUAAUUAAAUUGGUGGCCUCUAUGUCAAAGAGACCUGGUUUUAAUUUGAACAUAAUUGAACAGUCGCCGUAGCGUUAGCACGGACAAUAUACUUGUUAUACUCAGUGUAGUCAAUGUAUUUAAUCUCUUAGCAUGGCAAAAUUAGAGUACCGUAUUAUUAGAAAAAAACCUAUAUCGCACUUAAUUAGAGUGACCAUUUAGGUUUUGCAGCUAGCACCACUCUAAUAAUUCAUAUUUUCCACUUAAUUCGGUAACCUUUUAACUUGUAUCACAAAUCUAAAAUUUGAACUUACAACAACAUUGACAAGCAACAUUUUCUUCAACUGAAAUAAUUUCUUGCCUUGUUUUAGUAAAGAAUCAAGACCUUUUCUUAGUAAAGAAUUAAGACCUUUUCUUGAGCUAUAGCUGAAUAUUCCUCGCUGCUGGCGUUUUGCUUGCUUCUGGAACAGUAGGGAGAAAUUAUUAAUGUGUUGUCUGGCAUGUUGUUCAGCCAAAUAGCCACACUUGCGAAAAUAGGGUCUUCUGACAUUCAUCUAUUAACUGUAGAAGAAUGUCUCGUGGUAUUGUUAUAUUUUUUUUCUUCUAGAAAACAGGGUGACAUUUGCUUGGUAGUUGUCAAUAUUUUGAUCAGCUAUCCUGGUGCCAUGGUUGCAGGUUUACGUUAAGAGCACGUUUUUUACUCACUCCAUCUGCAAGCCUCAAGUAACCCCUUCAUUGACCAACUAUUUCUACUGUUUUUUGGCUUUUCUAUAUAGUUAGGAUAAGCCUCAAGUAACCCCUUCAUUGACCAACUAUUUCUACUGUUUUUUGGCUUUUCUAUAUAGUUAGGAUACUAUGGUUCUGUAAUGUUGUACAGUCUCAGUGUCAGAUAAAUGGACAAUAUUU
rnacentral:lncRNA from 1 species